AAAUUCUGUGCCACGCUUUUUUAAGUUCACAUUUGGAGAGAUUUUUUUAAUAUUAAACUAAUAUAUCUCAUGGUUAUUACUUAAUAUGGAAAUAUUUUGACUUGCAAAAUUUGUACCAGUUAUUCUGAGUGGCAAACAGGUACUGUUAUUGUAAGUGUCAAAGUGAGUGGUAAGGAUCAUUUAACUUUUUUUUAGUGAUAUACAUAUUUAAGACAAAUAAACUUUGAACCUUUUAUUUAAAUAUUAUUUUUUUAAUUUGUUUUACAUUCCUAAAUUUAUUAACAAACUCAUCAGUUGUAACUAUUUAAUGCUUUAAUGGUAUAAUGGGUCGACACAUAUUUAAAGGAGAAUUCAAAAAACAUUUAAUUAGUAAUUUUACAUUGCCAUCUAACACAAAUAUUGGGUGCACGAAUGGAAACGUUCUGUUUCUUUAUACUAGCAAUGGUGAGUUGUUUAGCAAAACAGUUGCAUAAGUCAAUGAGCAUUUUAACUUGAAUAUUUGCUCCAGUCAUAUCAAAAAAGUAGUGUACAUAGCCAAAAACUGGUCUAAAAAUUUUUUAAGAAAAUAUGAAAGUUGUGUUGCAUUUUGUAAUGAGCCCUUUAUAAACCGUGAACCACUGAUUACAAUUUUAUCGCAGCCUAUCUUAAGUAACACUAAUUACACAAUAUCACAUUCUUCUGUUUUAUCAUUGUCAGAAUACAGCAGUGUCACAUCUCUGAUACGUAAUGAACCUUCAUGUUCUGCUGGACAUGAAGCAAAUUUAACUACUAGGCAGACUUCAAUAGAAAAAUUGAGCCCUAGGAAGAAAAAAUUAACUAACCGGUUGUCUCAUUUGUCUUCUAGAUUAUAUGUAACGAAGUGGAUCAUACAGCUUUUUUAUAUUCAAACUUUCACUUGAAACCCUUUGAAGAAUGUCGUCGUAUGGUCAUAUCAAAUAUUUCAAACACAAUGUCGGACAGAGUAUCUGUUAACCAUCUUACAAUUAGAAAAAUUGGUGAAACUUGGGGUAAAAGUCUCAAUGAAUUAAACUGUCAAUUGCACCCUCUUGACACAAUUGCCACAUCGUGUCGUUCAGCAUUAAAGUCUCUAGAGCUUGAUAGCUGCGAAUUAUAUGGAAAUGAUUGUAUAGCUGCAAAAAUUGUUUUGGCUAUGAAUAAGAUGAGGUUCAAAGAUGGUAAAGGUGACCCAAAGGGAUUUGUUAAUUUUUUAGACAAUAAUAAACUACCACGAGGUAUCAUUCCAAGGUAUCGUGGAAAUCGCCUUCACAUUCUGUUCCACACUUGUUUUAUUUUUAUAAAACAUUAUAACAAAUUUUCACAUUUUUUAACUAUAGGAACAGUAAAAAUAAAAACUUUACAAAGGGUUCUGCGAGUAGCAUUUUGUAAUACAACUGCUAUAAAGCAAAUGUGUCUACUUGCUUUAUUUGGAAAACUUCUUACAGGCCCGUGGAUGACAAUGUUUUAUGUGUCAUCUGAGAAAGCAUAUUUUGAUCAUGUUGGUGGUAUCCAGAUUGUUAAAAAUGUUGUGCAAAUAAUUAAAGACUGCAAAUGCGAUCCAGCUGCAAUAUUUUGCAGAACAACAGAUUUUUUUGGAAAUGCUCUCAAAGCAAAUGUGUUAGAACCAUUAACAAAAAUAUGUAGAAUUGAUGACGAGCUCAUUGCCAUGAUCUUGGCUUGCCUCAAUGCAAUAGAAGUGGUUUUAAAUCGACAGUAUAAGCGCUAUUUUUCCAUUACCAUUACAGAAGCACUUGAAAAAGAAAACUUCAUAACAUAGAUAGUGAAGAGUUAAUGGGAAUGAUCAGUGCUGCAAAAGGAAGAUCUCCUAAUGCAUCUAUUGAUUAUAUAUCUUGCAAAUUACGAACCAAAAAGAAUGGGACAAUGGAUUAUCUGGAUAAUCUUGAUGACUUUUCUAGAAAAAUGGUAGUUCAGUCGUCUAUUCAGGCAGCACGUAAAAAACGAAUUAAAACUCGACUACAACAUACUGAAAUUAGAGCUGAGAUUUCUAAAAGACAGACUAUAAAACGCCAAAAAAUUGAUGAAAAAGAAAAAAGAAAGUUAGAGCAACAAUUAACAUUAUUAACUAUCAGUGAAAUUCUGAAUUUGUUUAAAAACUUAUCUACUAAGCAAAUUGAUGAUUUAAAUGAUGUUAUGUGUGAAAGAAUUGUUGGGAGAAAUCUUUGCCAUGAAUGGUAUGAUUCCGAUACAGCAAUGACAGUCUUGUAUAAUGGCAGAGUAGAAAAACUUAAAAAAGCUCAGAAAGAUAUAUACACUAUUUCUUAUUGGACUAGAGAAGAAAAUGAUACUGAAGCAGUUGAUUAUUAUAUGAAAAAAUUCCAGCUAGUUGCUGACAUUGUAUCCGGUCAGAGGGGAACCAUCUAUAACUAUCACAAAGCAUUGUGUGGUGUAUUUUGAGUUUUGGUUGUCAAAAAAAAAAGGAAGAGGGGGGGCAUCGACACGCCCCCUCGCCCAUCUACACCCUUGAAACAAAAGUUCAGUCAGUUGCAACAACAAUUAAAGCAGCAGGAAACAACCAAGUACACAUGCAAGUGUAAUCACAAGAUAAACUGCAAAUUCUGUUAUAUUAGAUAUGAUUCUAAUAGUUGAUCAUCUGUCAGAUGUUUACUUUUUAAAUCAUUAUCUAAUUGCUCAAGCUUAUGAAAAGUUAUUUAUAAAAAUUCAACGUAUAAAAAUAAUGUAAGAUUAAAGACAAUGAGGAUUGCAAAAGUUUUAAAUAUCAGAAACUGAAGAAGAAAUUGAUAAUUAGCAGAUAACAAAAAAGCGCAAAAGUACUGAUUAUACAACUCUUUUAAAGUUGAGGAAGAAUUUUAUGUGGAAUGUUAAUGCAAAAGGUACAAAUAUUGACAGGUUAGCUAAUUUGAUGUUACAAUAAACAUGAAAUAAAGUUUGUGAAGACCUUAGUUCCAAAAAUACUUGCAUGCAUUAUUCAUGCAUGCUAUAUUAUAAUAUAGCAUAGAUGCAUUCAAGUAUAAAAAAAAAGUUACAAAUGUUUAAUUAUACAAAAAGGUUAUUUAUGUGGUACCGCAAGUAUAUUCAAUUGAUUAUGUAAGUAUGUAUGUACUUUACAUCUUUGAAGACUAAUAAUAAUUGUAAUGAAC
rnacentral:misc_RNA from 1 species